rnacentral:lncRNA from 1 species
UGACAUUUCUCUUCCAUCCUCACAUUUUGCGCAGCACUAUCAUCAACAUUGACAAUCCUUGGGGAACUGUCUCUGGGCAUGUUUGACUUGACGUAAGUGAAAAAGGCAGACGAUUCGCCAAUCCUCAAUUCAAUCUUCUUUGGACCAGAUGAAAAUUGACCUAGAAAAUAGUACAAGCAUUAAAAAUAUGGGAUCCACAUAUAAUCACAUCCCAAUGAAACAUAGACAGCUAUAUAAACAAUUUAAUUUUCAUGACAAUGGAAGCAAAAAACAGCUCACCUGUUCGGCGGUCACUUAUUCCUGGCACAUCAGGCCCACAUUCUGAUGCAUCUAUUGGCUCAACAGCAGCAGUUCCAGAAGUAGAUGCAACAACAGUAGCAGUAGCAACAGGAACAGA